rnacentral:tRNA from 1 species
UCUUUUAUAGGUUAAGGUAUAGAUCGUUAGUUUGUGGUGCUAAAGGUUUCUUGGAGUGAGUGAAAGAA